AAAGAAACUAACAAGGAUUCCCCUAGUAGCGGCGAGCGAAGCGGGAAGAGCUCAAAUUUAUAAUCUGGCACCUUCGGUGUCCGAGUUGUAAUCUCUAGAAAUGUUUUCCGCGUUGGACCGCACACAAGUCUGUUGGAAUACAGCGGCAUAGUGGUGAGACCCCCGUAUAUGGUGCGGACGCCCAGCGCUUUGUGAUACAUUUUCGAAGAGUCGAGUUGUUUGGGAAUGCAG
rnacentral:rRNA from 1 species